rnacentral:rRNA from 1 species
CAGUCGCCGCGGGAAUACGAAGGGUGCAAGCGUUAAUCGGAAUUACUGGGCGUAAAGCGUGCGUAGGCGGUUUGUUAAGUCUGCUGUGAAAUCCCCGGGCUCAACCUGGGAAUGGCAGUGGAUACUGGCAAGCUAGAGUGUGUCAGAGGAUGGUGGAAUUCCCGGUGUAGCGGUGAAAUGCGUAGAGAUCGGGAGGAACAUCAGUGGCGAAGGCGGCCAUCUGGGACAACACUGACGCUGAGGCACGAAAGCGUGGGGAGCAAACAGGAUUAGAUACCCGCGUAGUCCCUGUCUCUUAUCA